rnacentral:misc_RNA from 1 species
UGUGGGAGCGAGCUUGCUCGCGAAAGCGGUGUGUCAGUUUGCGGUGAUGUUGGAUGUGCCGGCCCCAUCGCGAGCAAGCUCGCUCCCACA